rnacentral:misc_RNA from 1 species
GGAAGAUGUUCAUCCAAUUGGAUCAAGUUUAUCGCCACGAAUAAUUAUGACUUUUGCUCCCCAAGCGACAUUAGUGACAACUGUUCGUCAAUAGAACAAUCCACAUGACAUGUUUUCCGACAUGAAGAAGGGAUUAAAAUGAGACCAAGAACUCGCUGUUCCAUUGGAGAAGGGGCAGAUCUUCUAGUGCUACGGUACUCGACUGCAUCUUGAAGAAUUAUGUUUCCUUGCUUAUCUAUACA